CAAAACUCUGCAAAAUGACUAAGAAAUAGGCCUAUUUUUAAACUAACUCAUGCCUGGUAGAAAGCAGUAAGUGAACACCUGGUGGGCUGAUUAUGCAGAAGACUAUAGAUAUCUCUUCUUGCAAGGAAAUUCUCAGUACUAAGAAGAAACCCAUCUGCUCUAGUUAGUACAUAUUGUGAGUGAAAUGUUUUAUUUAUCAUACUCACCAAUUACCAUCAUCUGGACCAUGUCCACUUCUGGGAUAUGAUGAUGAGACAUCAAUUACAUUUUUUUUCAUGAAGCUCAAUAUUCUCAUAGUACAGUUUUUAUUGAGUAAAUAUUGGCUACAUGAUUGAACUGUUUCCUUAUGGAACGUGGCAUAUUGGGUUAACACAGGACUAUUUCUUAUCCCUGAAAUCAAAUUUGCAAAAUUAUCCAGGCUAUUGAAGUUUUAAUUUGUUAGUAUCCACUGUAUUUAUGAGCAAAUCAGCUGAACUCUUGUUCUUUGGAGUCAAGAAGAUUUCUAAAUGACAACAUACUAAGAGCACGUAUAAAAACAGAAGCAUCCAUGUAUGAACUUGAAUGUUUUGUUAUGAACACUGUCUAGUCUUCAGCAUACACAAUAUUAAAGAAAGUUCCUCAGCUUUAGCUUAGCUCAGUUGUACAUUAGGAAAAUCUGCAAAUAAAAUAUUACUGGGAAUAGAGAUAGCUUCAAAAUUAAUUAUUUGGUAUAACUGGCUGCCACCUGAAUAAAUGACACAUUGGAAAUUGAAGGGGAGUUGGAUGGUAGAAUUGCCGUAUGUGGCAGUGACAAAAGAUCCUCUAACCAAUGUGAAAGUAGGAUAAACUCCUAAAAUGUUUCAGAAUUUUUUUGUGUAUUGGUAACUUUUCUGCAUUUCUGUCUGCUCAGUUAUCAUCAGAGUUUAUACAAAUGUUAUAUCACAUCUUCAAAUGAGCCUUUUAGAAAGCACUGACUACAUCUCACCAGAUGAAGGGAGAAGUGAGAGAACUCUCCACAUUGUUAAGCGUUGAAGACAAUCCAUCAUCUGUCCCAAACUUCAAAAUGACGACAUCUGGACUACAUCCUCACAAUGGUGUAGCACUGACACUUCAAACAAACUCAGAAAAUGGUAAAGGAAAAAAAAAAGAGAAGUACUACUUACAACCAUCUCAUGAAGAUAAUCAUCUGUGGGCAAACAAAAGACUAAAAGACUCAUUUUUUACUGGGAAUAUUUUUACUGGGAAUAUAUAUAUAUUUUUUUCCUUUUUUCUUUUUUCUCUUCCCUUCCCUUUUCCUGAAUUUAAUUUCUUGAACUUUUUAGUUAAGGCAUCCUGAGGGCACUAAAUUACAGAUAAUCCUCACUCAUACUAGAAUUGAAACCUUCCUCUUUCAAAAGAUAAUCAUUUCCAGUUGAUAAAUUCAACAUAAAUUGGAUAAGGCAAUCAUUUCUUGAACAAAAAUAACUCCUAUAUUCAUGUGAAGGUAAGCUGUUAAAGGAUUUCUCAGUCCUAAGGAAAGAGAUUGCAUGCUCUUUCUUUCCUAUGUGAUCUAACUUUAAGUGUCAACUUCACCUAUAGUAACUUUGACAGAAAAAACUAGAAGUAAUGAAUAUUUCUCAUUUAUUGUCUAUGAAUGCAAAAAAUAAUGGGAAAAGGCAGAUCACACAUUUGAAACAAAAAUAUUGCCUCAAUAUUAACGCUAUUUUUUAUAAUGUCUGCUCACUGAGAACUAAAGGCAGUAACUCUUUGAUACUGGCAGUAUUUUGAGCAGCAAAUCAUGCAGCAACUACGAAAAUAUGUAAGAGAUCAUACCGUUUUACGAUGAACAUGGUUAUUUAUUUAACCUACAUUGGGAAAAAAAUCCUAAAAAAUAACUAUUCAAAGAAACACUACUGCAGUUUAAAAAAGUAUAAAAAAGGCAGGCUUGUUCAGUAACUUUUGAUAAACUUCUUGAACGGAUGUGCACUUACAGGAGUUUUCUAAUUACUUAGUUCCAGAUCUAGAACAGGAAACUUAACACUGCAUCUCUACUGUUCAAACCAAAUGUGAGCAUAGAUUUUAAGGGAAAUGAACCAUGCUUUUUCUUAGUGAGUUUCAUAAAUAUAUUCUGAUAGUAAUGGCAUGCUGAUAUCUAUGAGUCUUGUAUCUUAUUUCAGCUCUGAGAAAAAUGUCUUUUAGGGCUACAACUUCUGCCUCUGAAUAAUCCAUCACUCAGUUUCCUGCUCUCAUUCAUUGUUUUAUCUUCUGUUCCUGGCCCAUGGUCUUCUAAUUUCUUGACCCUGCUUCGUGUUUUGUAAAGAAACAAUCCGAAAAGGACUAACAACUUAUAUUUGUGUCUUUAAAUUCACAUCUUUAUGCUCUUUCAGAGCACUCUUAGAAGUAGAAAGGUUGUGGUGAAUGCAUGCUUUCAAGCAAAAUUGCACACAGACUCUCAGAGUAAGUUUCUGCCUGUAUUUCUCUAACUGAGAUAGGGACAUCAAGGCCUGAAUGCCUGGUGCUUAAUUUGAAUUAUAUGAGUGAGCAGUGCUCAGUCAAUAGCAACGUUUACUUUGUUCAGGAACAAACAUACUCCAUCUUAUUCCUGCUCCAGUGAGAACAAGGCUAUUUCCUACUAUCUGCUUGCACCUUGGUUUACUUUAGCUGAAUCAGAUAAGAGUAAAGUUUAAGAUCCAUGAAUUAGAAGCAGCUCCCUAAAAUUUCUAUUCCAUGGGCAACUUACCAGUCUUGGGCCUAAUGUCAGCCUAAAACAGUGAAGACCCAUGCUUUUCUUUUCAAGGAGACGCAAGGAGGGAAAAAUUAUUCUGUACACACAGAGCAGCUCUAUGUACAACUUUGCAAAAAUUAUAAAAUAUUUGAGAUAGGACAUAAAAGUUAGCUUACCAGUAGUGUGGGAUAAAAAAAAACACCUUGUCAUUUU
ensembl:lncRNA